rnacentral:rRNA from 1 species
GACGAACGCUGGCGGCGUGCUUAACACAUGCAAGUCGAACGGAAAGGCCCUGCUUUUGUGGGGUGCUCGAGUGGCGAACGGGUGAGUAACACGUGAGUAACCUGCCCUUGACUUUGGGAUAACUUCAGGAAACUGGGGCUAAUACCGGAUAGGUGCUCCUGCUGCAUGGUGGGGGUUGGAAAGUUUCGGCGGUUGGGGAUGGACUCGCGGCUUAUCAGCUUGUUGGUGGGGUAGUGGCUUACCAAGGCCUUGACGGGUAGCCGGCCUGAGAGGGUGACCGGCCACAUUGGGACUGAGAUACGGCCCAGACUCCUACGGGAGGCAGCAGUGGGGAAUAGUGCACAAUGGGCGGAAGCCUGAUGCAGCAACGCCGCGUGCGGGAUGACGGCCUUCGGGUUGUAAACCGCUUUCGCCUGUGACGAAGCGUGAGUGACGGUAAUGGGUAAAGAAGCACCGGCUAACUACGUG